GUUAAUGAGUGAAGUGAUGGGAUCUCUGUCACAUGUCCGCUCCAUAAUACAUGAUGAUGACAACUACGAAGAGAGGGAUAGAGAAGUUCGACUGCCUCACAAUAUUAGAUUGUUGAGGACAUUCAAAGCAUGCAAUGAAGAUUUUGCGAGAUCAGAUGUUUAUUUCUUAGAUAAUGUGUUUGAAUUGGUGAACUUACGGUACCUUGCUGUUCACGUUCAUACGAAGUCCAUAUUUCCUACUUCAGUUGAUCUUCUUUGGAAUCUACAAACAUUGAUCGUUCAUUGUUGGGAAGAUCUUAUUGCACCAACUGAAAUUUGGAAAUUGCAUCAACUUCGACAUCUCGAGUUUAGGUUGCGUGGACUGAUUCUACCAGAUCCCCCUAGUGGUGACAAUGACAUUGUUAUCAUGAAGAAUCUGCAAACACUCAAAGGAGCAAAGAAUUUGAUUUUGAAUGAGGGGAUCGUCAAAAGAAUUCCUGAUGUGAAGAAUUUGCAUCUAAGGUAUCAACUGAAACAAAUGGAAGAUAGCAACGGUCUCAUCAAUCUUCAGUGCUUGAAUAAAUUGGAAAACCUUUGGUGCUCCACCAAAUAUGGAAGUGAUGAGUGUUGGCAAAUGGCAAGGUUCCCACACUCCCUCAAGAAGUUGUCUGUUAUUGCCUCUUCUGCUCUGGGGUUGGAAGACAUAUUGCAAAAUGUCUGUUCAUUACCCUUUCUUGAGAAAUUUGUAUUAGAAGGUGGUUUGUUCAAAACAUGCAAGUGGGAAACAAUUGGAGGCCAAUUCCGGAGCCUCAAGUUUCUACAAUUGCGCAAUUGUGACGGUCUAGAAGAUUGGAUUGUGUCAGACAACUCUCACUUCCCACUUCUCCAGAAGCUUCGUCUUGAUUAUUUAAGGACACUAAAGGAGAUCCCGUCAGAAAUUGGAGAAAUACCAACACUAAGAUCAAUUGAAUUGGAUCGUUGCAGUGAAUCAACGGUGGUGUCAGCUAAAAAGAUAGUAGAGGAACAAGAGGAUUUAUAUGGAGACCAACUAGACCUUCAUGUUCGAGCUCUAGUUUGGAAGGAAGAAGAAGCACUGAAGAGCUUGGCAAAUGCCAACUUUGAAGUUAAAGUGGGAAUUAACAGAGACUUGUCUUUCAUGUAGCAUGGAAGAGUAGUGUACUAAUAAAGUUUGAGCUUGCUUCAAUAGCAUAAACUCUUUCUAUUGAUACUUAUGUUCUAUUGUAAGAGCAAGCAAAAGCAUUCAGCAUUUGCGUUUCUAUAUAAUUUACCUCAGCUUUUCCAUUCGAUAAACAUUGUACUGCAAAAGAGAUAGUAGAGGGAAUAUAGAAUUUACAUUGAGAAGAUGUUUCCUUUCGUGUUGUAGGAUCACUACUGAGCUAGGCAGGCCACAAUUUUAAGUUGUAGGAUGAUUCUGUUUUUCUUCAUCUUCAACUAUGUAACUACAUUACAUAAUUGUGCUGUGCAUAUGAGUUCAUCAUCAACACUUGAUUCUGGGGAUUAAAAGCGGCGCUGGAGGUUGGAAUCUCAGUGUCUCUUUGAUGAUCAGUUUGAGAUAGAGCUCUAUCAGUGGUGGAGUCUGCCUGGAUGAUAGCAGAGGAGCAAGAUGAAAUACAAGCGAGCAACAACCAAGCACUACAGAGCCUUGCAAGCCCCAAAUUUCUCGUCGAGAUUGACUAUUUUUAGUCUAAAACAUUGAGGUGAUGAGGCUGUUACAAUGAAUUUAUGGUACAUUGGUUUCACUUUUCAAUUUCUAGAUGUUAUCUCUCAAACCUCUCUCAAGAUUUGCAGAUGUAAUCACUCUUUGCUUCCAGGUACUCUCUCUUCUCUCUGUUCAUGGACUGAUGAGGCCACCUACGUCGGAAGUGGUUCUUGUGGAUGUGCGGAUUGACACCAACUUCUGUUUUCUUUGGGUUCUGUUUCCGCGUUUGUCUUUGCAAAUACUGUUUGUACAUGUUUGCUUGUUCCAUUGAAUUUGUAAUUCUUAACUACCAUAAAAUCCAAUUUGAUUGAACAAAUGGACUUAAAAAAUUCUUGAACAAAUUAAUUCGUUCUUUGUAACAA